UACGAAGGGGGCUAGCGUUGCUCGGAUUUACUGGGCGUAAAGGGCGCGUAGGCGGACAGUUAAGUCGGGGGUGAAAGCCCGGGGCUCAACCUCGGAAUUGCCUUCGAUACUGGCUGUCUUGAGUGUGAGAGAGGUGUGUGGAACUCCGAGUGUAGAGGUGAAAUUCGUAGAUAUUCGGAAGGAGCAUCAGUGGCGAAAGCGACUUCCUGGACCCAGUACCGACGUUCAGGCACGAAAGCGUGGGGAGCAAACAGG
rnacentral:rRNA from 1 species